UACAGAGGUCCCGAGCGUUUGUUCGGAUUCACUGGGCGUAAAGGGUGCGUAGGUGGCAUGGUAAGUUUGAUGUGAAAGCUCAGGGCUCAACCCUGAAAUGGCAUUGAAUACUACUGUGCUGGAGGUUUGGAGGGGGGACUGGAAUUCUUGGUGUAGCAGUGAAAUGCGUAGAUAUCGGGAGGAACACCAGUGGCGAAGGCGGCGAUCUGGGAAGAUACUGACGUGAGGUGCGAAAGCGUGGGGAGCAAACAGG
rnacentral:rRNA from 1 species